CUGUCCUUUUGAAAUUUUGAUUAUAAAAAUUUUAUUGUCCUAAAUUAACUGUUACUUUUAUAGUAUCUGAUAAUCUUAAAACUUUUAAUUUUAUACAAAAUAGACAUAAAUGACCUACAAUUUUUUCAUUAAAAUGAAGGUGGCAGAAUAAACAUUAUUUGUUAAAACCUCACGUGCCAAAUUUUGGCAUCAUGUUUGUAUUUAGAGCUGUUCUUAAAAUGAUGAUAUUACUUAUUUUUCAUUAUCCUAAUUUAAAACUGUACGAAGCUUUUCUCUGUCUUUCUAAUGGGAGCAUUGAUAAAAUGUUUAAAUGCCAUGCAUAUUAAGAUUAGCCUAACCUAGGAUCUUGUUAAAUUAAAGACACAUUUGUUCACUUUUAUACUCUAGAUAGAAUAAUUUAUAUUUCUGAUCAUGAAUCAAGUAUCUGAGGAUUCGUGUCCCUUUCUGUCCCUUUCAAAGAACUCCUGAAGCAACUUAACUCAAUAUUUCAGCCUUUGAGUAGAUAAAACUACCUGUACCUUCGUUAAUCACCCACAUUCUGUGACGGA
rnacentral:lncRNA from 1 species